CGGGACGGGUGAGUAACGCGUGGGUAACCUACCCUGUACACACGGAUAACAUACCGAAAGGUAUGCUAAUACGGGAUAAUAUAUUUGAGAGGCAUCUCUUGAAUAUCAAAGGUGAGCCAGUACAGGAUGGACCCGCGUCUGAUUAGCUAGUUGGUAAGGUAGCGGCUUACCAAGGCGACGAUCAGUAGCCGACCUGAGAGGGUGAUCGGCCACAUUGGAACUGAGACACGGUCCAA
rnacentral:rRNA from 1 species